GGGCUCAUAAAUCUUUCUUUCUUUUCUUUUUUUAUGGAAUUUUGUCCAAUAAUUUUCUGGCAGCCCAUCAAUUCUUUUUGUAACAUAUAUUUUAUAGAGGAAUAAGAGAUAAAACUUAGAACAUUGAACUUAAGAUAAUUGGCUAGCAAAUAAGCAAGGGAAAUAUUUUUGGUGUUCACUCUUAGUGUAAGAGUGGAACAUCUUUGGAUAGGUAAAUAUGGAAUAUUUAUGUGGUGCGUACUUCUAGAGUAGAAGCAGCAAAAGGGUGAACAUGAGUGUGCGUGAUACCGGUAUUAGUUAUAUGAUGAGUUCCUAAGGGUCAACAUAGCUCGAGCAAACACAAAGCCCUAUAUAUAUGUGGAGGCUUCCUAUUCUAAAUAAAUAUGGCCAUGGUAGGAAUUUUAUAUUCUUUAUCAUACAUAGAACUCAUCAUGAAGCAUUUUAAUUUUCAUAAAAUAAACCUCU
rnacentral:lncRNA from 1 species